GGGGGUAUCGCUCAAGUGGUAGAGUGCAUGCUUAGCAUGCACGAGGUCCUAGGUUCAAUCCCCAGUGCCUCCU
rnacentral:tRNA from 1 species